UACGGAGGGGGCGAGCGUUGUUCGGAAUCAUUGGGCGUAAAGGGCGCGUAGGCGGUCUCGUAUGUCUGCUGUGAAAGUCCACGGCUCAACCGUGGAACGUCGGUGGAAACUGCGGGACUUGAGGCUGGGAGGGGCCGGUGGAAUUCCCCGUGUAGCGGUGAAAUGCGUAGAUACGGGGGAGAACACUCGUGGCGAAGGCGGCCGGCUGGACCAGACCUGACGCUGAGGCGCGACAGCGUGGGGAGCAAACAGG
rnacentral:misc_RNA from 1 species